rnacentral:rRNA from 1 species
AGUGAACGCUGGCGGUAGGCCUAACACAUGCAAGUCGAACGGCAGCACAGUAAGAGCUUGCUCUUACGGGUGGCGAGUGGCGGACGGGUGAGGAAUACAUCGGAAUCUACUUUUUCGUGGGGGAUAACGUAGGGAAACUUACUCUAAUACCGCAUACGACCUACGGGUGAAAGCAGGGGAUCUUCGGACCUUGCGCGAUUGAAUGCGCCGAUGUCGGAUUAGCUAGUUGGCGGGGUAAAGGCCCACCAAGGCGACGAUCCGUAGCUGGUCUGAGAGGAUGAGUAGGCACACUGGAACUGAGACACGGUCCAGACUCCUACGGGAGGCAGCAGUGGGGAAUAUUGGACAAAGGGGGCAAGCCUGAUCCAGCCAUACCGCGUGGGUGAAGAAGGCCUUCGGGUUGUAAAGCCCUUUUGUUGGGAAAGAAAAGCAGCAGGUUAAUACCCCGCUGUUCUGACGGUACCCAAAGAAUAAGCACCGGCUAACUUCGUG